AAAUCUUCUCAUAUUUAGUUCAGCUCCUAUGUGAGCGGGAGACUGGAGAGAUUCUUCAAGGAUCCACUGAGAUUUGAUCCAGACAGAUUUCACCCAGAUGCUCCCAAGCCUUAUUACUGCUACUACCCCUUUGCCCUCGGUCCUCGCUCGUGUCUGGGACAGAACUUUGCUCAGAUGGAGGCUAAAGUGGUGAUGGCCAAACUGCUCCAGAGGUUUGACUUCACUCUCGUCCCGGGACAGACCUUUGACAUCCUGGAUGCUGGCACACUCAGACCAAAGAGUGGAGUGUUGUGCACUUUGAGUCACAGGGAUUACAAAAAUAAGGCAACAUCACAUAAGUGGUAGUAGACCAUAGAAGAAAAUGGGUUACUCUUUACUAAUGUAAACAAAAACAAAUCUAAAAGCA